AUUACAGUUUUUUUGGACUUCCGCAUUAUCUUCAUGAUUUAUGAGCGGAGGUUGGCGCCCGGGUGCAACGGACCUUUUUUGACAGCUGCUCCCAAAGUGCAACUUUUCGAAAAUAGUCUGUCUGCAUGGGAACGAGGAAAAACAACACUUUGUGGCAACGUUUGGGCGGAGAUGCUGACGGCUAACCACGUCGUUUUCAGCGUCUCCGUGUAAACAUCAAACCUUACUGAAACAAAUAAGCUAAAACUUUUCGUUUUCACCUGAAUCGUCGUCGUGUAAACGGGACCUUCCUCUCUUGGUUCUCAGAAAUGGACAGUCUGUCAAUCAAGACGUUUCCUGAUUCGUUGCUCCUGACUGAAGGUGUUUUACUCUCGUCAGAUCAGACUGAACAUUUCAGACUCUGGUUCUGUCUCCGUCUCUUCGUGCUGGUUUGUGCUUGAACGGUGACCGAGCUGCCGCUCCUCAGUGUGUGUUUGUGUGUGUGUGUGUGUGUGUGUGUGUAAACCGUCUGGGUGUGUUUGGCCGCCUCCCCCCCUCGCCGUGUCUUUUCAGUGGACUGUACAUGAUGCUGCAAACCGCCUGGUCCUCCAGAACCCCGGGAGAACCCAUGCAACGACCUUUAAGAAGACAGGCCAGCUGGCAUGGAGUCCUGAAACUAUGGGAGAAAACUGGAACAGCAGUGGAAUGUUUGAGCAGCGGUGGACACGAACUGGCCUGAUGAGAAGAGUUUUAUUGUCAUGAAGUAAAUUCCACUCCCUCCUCCACUCAGCCUCAUUAUUAAAAUCACUUCGUUGAGCAGUGGCCAGAAGAUCCACCUGUCAACCGUUUGCUGGAUAAUGCUGCAAUGCAUGUGAUUCAGGCCUGUGUGAGAAAACUGAUUUCCCCAAGACUGCCAGCUGCGUGCAGGGUCAGAGGUCACUGCUGGAGCCAUUGACAGGUUUGAGGAAA